rnacentral:rRNA from 1 species
UACAGAGGGUGCGAGCGUUAAUCGGAAUUACUGGGCGUAAAGGGUGCGUAGGUGGUUACGUAAGUUAGAUGUGAAAGCCCUGGGCUUAACCUGGGAAUUGCGUUUGAUACUGCGUAGCUAGAGUAUUGUAGAGGGAAGUGGAAUUUCCGGUGUAGCGGUGAAAUGCGUAGAUAUCGGAAGGAACAUCAGUGGCGAAGGCGACUUUCUGGACAAAUACUGACACUGAGGCACGAAAGCGUGGGGAGCAAACAGG